rnacentral:lncRNA from 1 species
AUAAGGGUCUCUGUUUUGGAUUGACAACUGGUGGUCAACUUGUAAUACCCAGCUGAACUUAACCAGUGUGGUUCUGGGUGUGGGAGGUUGAGGAUUGUUGCCAGCAGCAUAAGAGACAGAACUGGAAAAGAAGAAAAGAAGCUGUUUCAUGUUGUUAGAAGCUGUAAGGAGCUGUUGGUUCUCUUGGAGGAGCUUGUCAUGCUGGCUUUCCUGAUGAACUCAGCUGUUCUCAUCAUCUGAGGAGCUCAGGACCUUGUUGUCACUGAAAAUGGAUUUAGUUCACUUUGGGGGAGCUCUGGUCCUCACUUUGAGUAUAGCUUCUUGGCUCUGGAGGGGAAGAUUCAGCUCAUCACAAGGCCAGCCCUCCACACACUUCUUCCAACCAGCUUGGACUCCCAAGGCAUUUGUUCCAGCACAACUUGUUCCUGCCUGCAAGGAAGAAUCAAUCAUACUGGAAAACUGAGACUGCAAAUCUGUUUGUCUGACAGUGAAGUGACUGUGUAAAGAUAACUCCCAGACAAAAUGUAAUAUCCUUUCAGAAGAAAGGAAAGUCGUGCAAAGGUGAAGAACUGGAACUGGGAAGAACCGGGAUGAAUGCACUGACUGACCCUGAAGUAGUCACAUGUUUCAGUGUAGCAUCACCUACAGGCUAGUACCUGUGACCUUUCCCAGAAUACAGAGUACAGGGAAGUUGCAACAUGAAGGGAUAAUGAGAAGCUCAAAGCAAGCAACAACUGCAGGAAAAUGAAGACCCAUGAGGCACAGAAGUCAAAAACCUCAUGGUAAUUAUGAGAAUGGAAAUGUACUAAUUUUAGGCAAAUUAUUAGUGAAAACUGUAUAACCACAUUGUAAGCUUUCUUUCAAGCAUGUAAUUAUAAAAUGUGUCUUAAUCUCUU